rnacentral:rRNA from 1 species
GUGUCAGCAGCCGCGGUAAGACGAACCGUGCGAACGUUGUUCGGAUUCACUGGGCUUAAAGGGCGCGUAGGCGGGCAUCCAAGUCAGGGGUGAAAGCCCCCGGCCCAACCGGGGAAGUGCCUUUGAUACUGGAUGCCUCGAGCGGGAUAGGGGCAGCUGGAACUUUCGGUGGAGCGGUGAAAUGCGUAGAUAUCGGAAGGAACGCCGGUGGCGAAAGCGAGCUGCUGGAUCCCUCCUGACGCUGAGGCGCGAAAGCCAGGGUAGCGAACGGGAUUAGAUACCCCAGUAGUCC